CUGGGCUGGGGGGGUCCCUGUGCUGGGGGGCCCUGUGCUGAGGGGCCCUGUGCUGGGGGGAUCCCUGUGCUGGGGGGGUCCCUGUGCUUGGGGAUCCCUGUGCCGGGGGGCCCUGUGCUGGGGGGCUACUCUGUGCUGUGGGUCUCUGUUCUGGGGGCUCUGUGCUAUGGGGGGUAUCUGCGCUGGGGGCUCUGUACUGGGGGACUCUGUGCUGGGGGUGUCUGUGCAGGGGGGCUGUGUGCAGGGGAGCUCUGUGUUGGGGGCUGUGUGCUGGGGGACUCUGUGCUGGGGGCGUCUGUGCUGGGCUCCUCUGUGCCGAGGCUGGAGGCAAGGAUUUACCAUUCAUACUUGGGGAGCCUCAGCCAAGGUGCCUGCAGAGGCCUGGGCCAGUGUGAAGGGUCACCCUUGGCUUGGGUCUUGGGACUGGGUCUAAGAAGAGAAAAAGCGGCUCAUCCCCCUGGACUUGGGUAGAGACAUGAUGCCCUGGGAGUCUCCCUUCCACCCCAGGAGUCAGAACCCUGGCUGCACUCUGCCCCACGUCCUGGCCCCCAGGCUGAGGUGCACCCAGAGGCCCGACGUGUGCCUCUUCGGCCCCUGGGGCUCCUGUACCCGCCCCACAGAUGUGAGAGUGUGGCAGGCCAGGUCUCACUAACGCAGGCCUCCAUAACAAUUAUUUCAGUGCAGAGUGGUUAGUUCAAUAUUAAAAGCUUAAAAAGCUGUCCAGGAUCGGUGGUUUACACCUGUAAUCCCAGCACUUUGGGAGGCCCAGGCAGGUGGAUGACCUAAGGUCAGGAGUUCGAGACCAGCCCAGCCAAUUUAGUGAAACCCCAUCUCUACUAAAAAUACAAAAAAAAAAAAAAAAAAAAAAUUAGCCAGGCAUGGUGGCAGGUGCCUAUAAUCCCAGCUACUCCAGAGGCUGAGGCAGGAGAAUCACUUGAACCUGGGAGACAGAGGUUGCAGUGAGCCAAGAUCGUGCCACUACACUCCAGCCUGGGCAAAAGAGUGAGACUCCGUCUCAAAAAAAAAAAAAAAAAAAUGCCGGGUGUGGUGGCACACACCUGUAGUCCCAGCUACUCGGGAGGCUGAGACAGGAGAAUCACUUGAACCCAGGAGGUGGAGGUUGCAGUGAGCUGAGAUCACAUCACUGCACUCCAGCCUGGGCGACAGAGCAGGACUCUAAAGAAGAAAAGCCAGUGCCCUUCUUCAAAGGCUGGAAUGUAACAAAAGCCCACCAAGAGCUGUGCCCAGGCCUCUCCUGGGCCUUGAAGCGCGACAAGAUAACGAAGGAAUUCUUAAUAGGACCCGUUUAGGAUUAAACAAGUUUAUUGGAGGUCUGAAGAAACUCUCCAGGCCUCCACAGACAAGUUUAUUGGGAGCCCGAAGGAACUCCCCAAACCUUCAUGAUUUAGCAGGAAACAAGAUUAAGUCAGUUUACUGAGGCUCCAGGGGAAGGUCUUCAGGACUCAGGCCUUAAUUAUAGAUUAAAAGAAGUUAAUCACUUGGCCGGGCACGGUGGCUCACGCCUGUAAUCCCAGCACUUUGGGAGGCCGAGGCGGGCGGAUCACGAGGUCAGGAAAUCGAGACCAUCCUGGCUAACACGGGGAAACCCCGUCUCUACUAAAAAUAGUGAGCCCAAGAUCGUGCCACUGCACUCCAGCCUGGGCAACAGAGCAAGACUCCGUCUCAAAAAAAAGAAAAAAGAAAAAAGUUAACCACUUAUGUCUUCAGAUGAAUGCACACUUACACACAGACAUCUAGGUUGGAAGGUACAUAACCUCUGGAAAACUUUGUAAUUUGACUUGUUCUGGUGAUAAUUUCCAGGCCUUCUCCUUGUAACCGGCUGCAGAAAUAAAAACCCUCUUCCUCACCAGUUCAUCUGCAUCUCGUUACUGGGCCACGAGAAAUAGCAGCCCGACUCUCAGUUUGGUCCAGGAACAAGAGGAGGCUGCCUGUGCCGGCAUCAGGGCCUGGCGUGUCCAGUGGCCCCCACAUUCUCCAAGGAGAGGUCAGGGAUGCUGUGGCUGAAAACGGAGCUGUGGCGGGUGGGCGGCAGGGCCCAGAGUCUUCCUGUCUAAAUUUCCAGGCAAGCAACAUGCACCACAUGGAGGGGUGAGGGGAGGCCCUUGGUGGUGGGGGGCCAGCCCGAGGAGCCCCCACCCCAUGCACUGGCCCUGCUUCUCCUCCCUUCUGGGAGCUCCAGACUUACUGGGAGGCCCUCAGGGAAGCUUCUGACCCAGGUGUCUCUUGGCCCUGUACCCCUCCUCAGCAUGGCUGAAGAGCGGAAGGAAAGAGGUUUCCAUCCCCAGCUGCCUUCUCUGCAGGGUUGGGCCAGGCCUGUGGCCCUCAGAGGGCAAAGGAGAUGGCAAGCCACAGCCAGGGAGGCCAAGCCUGAGACGCCCCCUAGGAAGGACUCCUCAC
rnacentral:lncRNA from 1 species